ensembl:lncRNA novel transcript
UGGAGUGCAGUGGUGCAAUCUUGGCUCACUGCAACCUCUGCCUCCCAGGUUCAAGCAAUUCUCUUGCCUCAGCCUCCUGAGUAGCUGGAAUUACAGUUGAAAUCACACUGUUUUCAACUUCCAUUCCUUCUCACUAUGCUACAAUAAGGAAAUUGAGGCAGCUCAUCCCUGGACUUGAACAUAGGAGCACAUCUAGAUGAGAAGAUGUCAAACUGAGAGGACCUUCCUAAAAAAUUAAAAUAAAAUAAAAUCCAAGAGUUGAGGCACAAGCAAUCUCAUGUUAAAUGAUAACAGGCAAAGGGCCAAAGAACCAAGGAGGAAAUGAACGGCCCUUUCCUAUGGCUAGAACCAGAUGCAUUCACAAAGGGAACAUAUGAUGUUCAUGGAGAAACAAUUGGAAGAUUUGAACAUCUUGUUCAAUAAGAACCCAUACCCAAACCUCAGCCUUCAGAAAGAAAUGGCCUCAAAAAUGGACAUGUAUCCAACAGUACAGGUUUGGCUCA